rnacentral:miRNA from 1 species
UAGGUAGUCGCUCUGGGUUACU